GUUGAAGCCGGACAGGCGGCCGCGGUUAUAAGGAGAGGGCAAGAGGUAAUCGGAAGUACAGGUCGUAAAGCGUGCUCAGGCAGCUUAUUAAGUCAUAUGUGAAAUCCCUAGGCUCAACCUAGGAAAUGCAGUUGAAACGAAUAAACGAGUGUAUCGUAGAGGGAGGUAGAAUGCCAGGUGGGGCGGUGAAAUGCGUAGAUAUCUGGAGGAAUACCAGUGGCGAGUGCGACCUCCUGGACGAAAACUGACGCUCAAGCACGAAAGCAUGGAGAGCAAACAGGAUUAGAUACCCGAUUAGUC
rnacentral:rRNA from 1 species